CAUAAGUGCUCCAUGUUAUGGUUCUAUCACUUAUUACAGUAUAUAUUCUUGUAUUUUAAUAAUUUCAUAAUUGCUUAAUGUCAGAGCCACCUCAGGACCCACUAGAACAUGGGAACAAGUAAAAGUGAAAUACAAGAAUAUUCUUCAAAAUGGUAAUCUUUUCUACUUCUACUGUUUAGUCUCUUUUACCAAAAUAAAUGUUAAAUUAUGUGUUUGUCUGUUUAGAACAGCAACCAAGAAAAAGGCAGAGCAGAAAAAAACAGGUAGUGGUCCUGCACCCCCACAUUAUACCCCGGCAGAAGAGCUGGCCCUUGGUUUAAAUGUGAACAGACCCACUGUGGAGGGCAUCACUGGGGGCAGCUCUUCCUUAGACCAAAAGCCAGGGACCAGUAGCAACACCUUCAUUACUGUUUUACAUAAUACACCAACACUUUUACCUGUUCCCAAGCAAGUGGUGGCUGAAGCAUGUCCAGUAAGUGGACUUUUUUAGUUAGCCAUUAGUUUCUUUUGCACAGCACAGUGAAGAAACCCUCUCAGAUGACUGUCCUUUGGAGGAAGUACUUGUAAGUGCAUAAAUAACUGCUUAAUUUAUAGUUGUGUACAUAUAAUUUCUGACUGCAAUAUGAGUUGCAGGAGGAAAGGCCAGACAGGCCUACAGCACAAAGUGAUACAGAGGCAAAAGAUGACCAUCACUGGCUUUUCUUGACAAAGAAUAAUUGAAAUAAAAAUCAAGGAACUAAGCAUGUUGUCUUGUCUUCUAUUCAUUUAAUGAAUGUUUUUGUUUGUAAAAAAAA